rnacentral:rRNA from 1 species
AAAGCGUGCGCAGGCGGUUUUGUAAGUCUGAUGUGAAAUCCCCGGGCUCAACCUGGGAAUUGCAUUGGAGACUGCAAGGCUAGAAUCUGGCAGAGGGGGGUAGAAUUCCACGUGUAGCAGUGAAAUGCGUAGAUAUGUGGAGGAACACCGAUGGCGAAGGCAGCCCCCUGGGUCAAGAUUGACGCUCAUGCACGAAAGCGUGGGGAGCAAACAGGAUUAGAUACCCUAGU